GACGAACGCUGGCGGCGUGCCUAAUACAUGCAAGUCGAACGAGUGGCGGACGGGUGAGUAACACGUGGGAACCUACCCAUCAGAGGGGGAUAACUACUGGAAACGGUAGCUAAUACCGCAUACCAUCGGAUGUGCCCAGAUGGGAUUAGCUAGUAGGUGGGGUAACGGCUCACCUAGGCGACGAUCCCUAGCUGGUCUGAGAGGAUGACCAGCCACACUGGAACUGAGACACGGUCCAGACUCCUACGGGAGGCAGCAGUGGGGAAUAUUGCACAAUGGGCGCAAGCCUGAUGCAGCCAUGCCGCGUGUAUGAAGAAGGCCUUCGGGUUGUAAAGUACUUUCAGCGAGGAGGCGUUACUCGCAGAAGAAGCACCGGCUAACUCCGUGCCAGCAGCCGCGGUAAUAC
rnacentral:rRNA from 1 species